rnacentral:rRNA from 1 species
UACGUAGGGUGCAAGCGUUGUCCGGAAUUAUUGGGCGUAAAGGGCUCGUAGGCGGUCUGUCACGUCGGGAGUGAAAACUCGGGGCUUAACCCCGAGCCUGCUUCCGAUACGGGCAGACUAGAGGUAUGCAGGGGAGAAUGGAAUUCCUGGUGUAGCGGUGAAAUGCGCAGAUAUCAGGAGGAACACCAGUGGCGAAGGCGGCUCACUGGACCGGUACUGACGCUGAUGCGCGAAAGCAUGGGGAGCGAACAGG